AAUCCUGCUUCUGCCUUCUGGGAAUAAUUUAUGCUGUUGUUGAGUCUACUGCAUUGGCCUCCAGUCUGAGGGGGAAGCACGACCAAAUAAAAACACUGGAGGAAUCCAAACUGGAGAACUGCGACACUUCAAGGAAAAGGGCAUACUUCACUUCAUUCACUGCACUUUCUUAGCCUGAAUUCAUUGAUCAGCUCCCAAAAAGCACUACUAUCAUUCAGAAUAAACUUUCAAUUUUAACUAGCUUCAUCAAGUGGUUAUGAUUCUUUUUCUCAAUAUAUUUCAGUUGUAAGGCACACUGUUUAUCUCCAUUGUUGUAAGGCACACUGUUUAUCUCCAUUGAUGGACAUAAAUAGUGAAAGGAUGGGGGAAUAUUCAGAGAAAGUUACUCUGUAGGGAAAGUGCAUUAAAGCACUGAGCUGGAGACGGAAAGGUCCCAGGUUCAAACCCCAGGAGCGGCGGGAGCAGCCGCUGUUAGCUCCAGCUCCUGCCAACCUAGCAGUUCAAAAACAUGCCAAGGUGAGUAGAUCAAUAGGUACCGCUCUGGCGGGAAGGUAACUGCGCUCCAUUCCACAGCCCCGGGGUAAGACUCCACAGCCGUCUCACUUCUUCGUGCUUUGAAAAGCCUGGAGGAGCAGGAUGGCAUCUGCCCUUUCCCCCCAAGCUCCAAAUUUAGCUCUUAAAACUUUCUUAAAAGAUAUCUGGCCACCAUAAAUGUUCUCCUUGCA
rnacentral:lncRNA from 11 species